GAUGAAGAACGUAGCGAAAUGCGAUAAGUAAUGUGAAUUGCAGAAUUCAGUGAAUCAUCGAAUCUUUGAACGCACAUUGCGCCCAUUAGCAUUCUAGUGGGCAUGCCUGCUCGAGCGUCAUUUCAACCCUUAAGCCCUGUUGCUUAGCGUUGGGAGCCUACAGUACUGUAGCUCCCCAAAGUUAGUGGCGGAGUCGGUUUCACACUCUAGACGUAGUAAAUUUUUCUCGUCUGUAGUUGAGCCGGUCCCCUGCCGUAAAACACCCAAUUUAUCAAGGUUGACCUCGGAUCAGGUAGGAAUACCCGCUGAACUUAAGCAUAUCAAUAAGCGGAGGA
rnacentral:misc_RNA from 1 species